rnacentral:rRNA from 1 species
UAGUUGGUGAGGUAACGGCUCACCAAGGCGACGAUCGGUAGCUGGUCUGAGAGGACGACCAGCCACACUGGGACUGAGACACGGCCCAGACUCCUACGGGAGGCAGCAGUGGGGAAUUUUGGACAAUGGGCGCAAGCCUGAUCCAGCCAUGCCGCGUGUGUGAAGAAGGCCUUCGGGUUGUAAAGCACUUUCGGACGGAACGAAAUCGCGCGGGCGAAUAUUCCGCGUGGAUGACGGUACCGUAAGAAGAAGCACCGGCUAACUACGUGCCAGCAGCCGCGGUAAUACGGAGGGUGCGAGCGUUAAUCGGAAUUACUGGGCGUAAAGCGCGCGUAGGCGGUUUGUUAAGUCAGCUGUGAAAGCCCCGGGCUCAACCUGGGAACUGCAGUUGAUACUGGCCGACUGGAGUACGAGAGAGGGAGGUAGAAUUCCAUGUGUAGCGGUGAAAUGCGUAGAUAUAUGGAGGAAUACCGGUGGCGAAGGCGGCCUCCUGGCUCGAUACUGACGCUGAGGUGCGAAAGCGUGGGGAUCAAACAGGAUUAGAUA